UCCAAAACUGGACAGAAAUGCAUCUAUACUAAACUGAAAAAAAAAAAGAACGGGGAUUACAAAUUUACCCAAGAGAAAUUCCGCAGUGUGUAAUCUCGCGCGCUUCUGAUCCUUGGGAAGGAAGAAGAAGAAGAGGAGAAGAAAAUAUGAGUGUUGAAUAAACUCUAUGUGAAUAGCAACAACCGGACCAUUCGGAUCCCACAUUCGUACCAAGAACAACUGCAGUUCCUACCGAAAACGAGUCGGAUCCAUUUCAUAGAAUUCGAAUAUGGUUGCGUUGGAGGAGUCGGGUUGGGAGGAGCUCCGGGGCGGGUCUAGUAGUUGAACGUUAUCUCGAUCUCAAGCUCUCAAAAUACGAAUCGUGAAUCGUUUAAGUAGGUUAUGUUGAUGAAGCCAGCUUGGAAUGCGAGUUUCUAAUUUGCUGGUUGCGUGUGGCGGCCUGGAAGAUGUGAGUCACCUAAGGUGAAUUUGAUAAUGUAGAGAAUAGAGACGAUGGAGUGAAUUUGAUAAUGUAGAGAAUAGAGAUGAUGGAAUGAAUAUAUUAUGGCAGUUUCUACAAAUUGUAUAUAGGUGGGCUUUUACAUUUGCGUUUCUGUUAGUUGAUAACCUUUUGGAAAGAUCUCAUCUAAAUCAUGAACCGCAUGAUGCAUUGACUUUUGAGGCUUUGAGUGGUACUCUCUAUUAUGAUGUGUGAAAAUUUUGUGUUAAGUUUGUGAUGAGGUUGGUAUGUGCUAUAUACAGUGCAUCCAUCCAUGGCUAUUUCCCGUAGUUGUCUCAGAGGGCGGAUUGCGACAUUCCCUUUUGCACUUGUUCUCAGAUGGCUUCACUUUAUAAUGGCUAUAGUGGAAGCUAUUAUAAAGAUGGAGAUCCAGGCCCUGCAGAUGGCUUCAUCAUCUUCUGGAUUGUGGAAAUCUAUAAAGAUGGAGAUCCAGUCAUCGCUUGAGAAGUUACUGGAUAUAAAUUAUUUAAUGAGUCGAUGCGCUGCAUCAUAAAAUGAACUCUCUGAACAGAGCAAUAACUCAUGUAAUGAUCAAACAAAACAUCAGAGAGUUCAUUUUAUGAUGCAGCGCAUCAGAGGGUUCAUUAGAUGAACUCCAAUAGACAGCUGAUAAUCCAAACAAUACUUGCAUUGGCAUGCCAUGCCAUUUGCCACAAUAUAAUGGAGUUGCUAGUUUCCUUAGCUCAAAUUUUACUUUUGCUUUUUAAUAAACAGAGCAAUAACUCAUGUAAUGAUCAAGUAACCAUGAUAAAUAUGCAAGAGUUGGCUUACCUCUACCAUGUGUUAGUAUAUUGUUUGUUGAAGACGAGUCCAGCAGUGGGGAAAGCAGGGGAAGGGAAUGCUUUUGCAUUCCUGGACUCACCUGUAAGUACAAGAUUGAUUAUGCCAUAAGUCAAGCUCUGGCUACUAGAGCUGUGUUGGGUUCUCAAGCCCUCAAGGGACCUUGUUUAGAGAUGUUCAAGGAAAAGUCAAGCUACUUGGUGACAAAUUCCCUGUAAUUUGUGGUCUGAUUGGUAAGAUUCUAUAAAUUAUGAAACUCUACAGUGCCGGACUGAAACUCUACAGUGCCGGACUCUACCUUCUGGAAUCAGGAAUUGUGCGGUGUGGAUUGUGAAUCACCUUACCUUUGAGACCACCAGGUUAAAGGCUGUUGAAUGAGCUCUCAAAGCUAUGCAAUCAAGCUGACACUUACUGAUGGCAUUCGCACUAUGUUUAUAGGUACUUUGUCAAACUUUUGGCCACCUCUAUACAACAAUCAAAUGUUAUUUUCAUGUAUUCAUGCACACACAAAGAGAGAGAGAUAGAUAGAUGGUACCUUCUGGAUUUGAUGAAAUUGGUGAUUUCUUGUCACUUAUAUGGGGGGGAAUCUGCUGCAUGAAUGGUUAAAACAAAACAAAUAACAGGACAUGUUUUCUUUCGAUAUAGACCCUAUGUGUGGUUGAGCCUAUACUUCAAUUUUCAACUGAAGGUAUCUCUCUCACUCUAGCCUUGUUGUGUAGCUAAUGCUAGCCUGUGCCCUACUAUAUAGCCUCUCUCUCUCUCUCUCUCUCUCUCCACAUAUAUAUGUACACAUAAACACAUGUAUAUAUACAUAUCACACACAAGGGUAGUGGAAAAGGACUGCAAUUUAUGGAGUAGGGCAAGACUGAUCAGAAUGCUUAUAAAAAUUUGAUUUAUGCACUAAUUCAAAUUUAAUGUGCAUUAUUCAUUAUAUCAUUCUUAGCAGAGA